rnacentral:rRNA from 1 species
GGCUACAGCUAUACCACCCUGAACACACCUGAUCUUGUCGGAUCUCGGAAGCUAAUCUUGGGCCUGGUUAGUACUUGGAUGGGAGAAUCCGGGCCCUGGAGCCA